CCAAAUUCCAGAGUAACUAAAACCCAAGGGAAUGGGAAAGGAAGAUGAAUCAUUUUGGCACUGUCAUCUGUAGCUUCCGUGGUUCUUGACAGCUCCGUAAUCAUUACCCAAAGACUAGACAUCCAGCCGGUGGCUGCUUGCUUGCAUGACGAGGAGCUCCGCAGGAAGGCAAAGUCCAUUCAGGAGACACCAUAUCUUGACAUUUGAAUGGCUGCCCUGAGUGUUGGGUGGGGCAGGAAGCCUCAGUUCCCAUCAGCCAAGACCUGACAAGAGCAAAGAAGACUCUACUGUGACCUGGUUGCUAGAAUGCCUAGAGGUGAUUGCAAGGCUGAGACAAAGGUCUAGAAACCGGGCUGCCCUUCCUUUAACUUCAGGAGUUUCUGAGGAACGAUAGCAAAGGUGGACUGAGCUUUAAUUAGAAGGAGAAGAAGAAAGAAGAGGAGGAGAAGGAAGAAGAGGAGGA